rnacentral:rRNA from 1 species
UGGCUAAUACAUGCAAGUCGAGCGGAUGACGAAGGAGCUUGCUCCUUCUGAUUCAUCGGCGGACGGGUGAGUAACACGUGGGCAACCUGCCCUGUAGAUUGGGAUAACUCCGGGAAACCGGGGCUAAUACCGAAUAAUCCUUCGGACCUCAUGGUCCGAUGUUGAAAGACGGUUUCGGCUGUCACUACAGGAUGGGCCCGCGGCGCAUUAGCUAGUUGGUGAGGUAACGGCUCACCGAGGCGACGAUGCGUAGCCGACCUGAGAGGGUGAUCGGCCACACUGGGACUGAGACACGGCCCAGACUCCUACGGGAGGCAGCAGUAGGGAAUCUUCCACAAUGGACGAAAGUCUGAUGGAGCAACGCCGCGUGAGUGAAGAAGGUUCUCGGAUCGUAAAACUCUGUUGUGAGGGAAGAACAAGUACCGGAGUAACUGUCGGUACCUUGACGGUACCUCAUUAGAAAGCCACGGCUAACUACGUGCCAGCA